GGUCCUGUAGCUCAGGGGAUAGAGCGUCGGUUUCCUAAAACCGUGCGUCGCAGGUUCGAAUCAUGCCGGGACCG
rnacentral:tRNA from 1 species